GGGGGAGUGGGGCACCGGACUUCUCACGAUGGCCGCAGGUUCGAAUCCUGCCGGGU
rnacentral:tRNA from 1 species